rnacentral:rRNA from 1 species
UACGUAGGGCGCAAGCGUUAUCCGGAAUUAUUGGGCGUAAAGAGCUCGUAGGCGGUUUGUCGCGUCUGCCGUGAAAGUCCGGGGCUCAACUCCGGAUCUGCGGUGGGUACGGGCAGACUAGAGUGAUGUAGGGGAGACUGGAAUUCCUGGUGUAGCGGUGAAAAUGCGCAGAUAUCAGGAGGAACACCGAUGGCGAAGGCAGGUCUCUGGGCAUUAACUGACGCUGAGGAGCGAAAAGCAUGGGGGAGCGAACAGG